UGGGGAAGAAUAUCACUACUUUUCACAUUGUAGUAACAAAAGGUUAGAAAAACGGCGAGAGAAUUUUUUAAAUGAGUUAGUUGAUUUUAAUUGCAAAUUUAGCUCGUUGGGUACAAAUAAUUUAUUUUUAUUCUGUGUGUCAAUGAAUGACAAAAAUAUCAUUAAUUCUACGGCCAAGUACAUAUACCGAAAUAUUUUCUGGCAUUAAAGGGGGGCUCUGAAAGUUUUCAAUAUAUUGAAGAGGGGGGGGGGAUAUAAACUUUUCAAAGUUUUGGUCCAGCAGGAGCCUGGAGUGUUCACUCCCAUGGUAGUUAAUAGAAUAGAUGGUUUGGAAACUCUUUAGAAUAACAAUAUAACUCAUUAUCUAUGUUAGUGAACAAGAACAUUCAUAAAUCUGUUUUUUUACUGUCACGUGCGUAUUGUAUUUUUGCCCAAUUAACCAAUAGCAAUGUUUUAAGAAAGUUACCUAUCCAUGACUCAAACAAUAGGGUAAAUUGAAAAUUGCUAUUGGUGAACAUGGCAAAAAUAUAAUACACACGUGACGGUGAAGGAACAUAUCGUUCUUUAUACAGAUUGUAUGUUUUAGGUAUUUUGAACACAAAUGUGAAAUGAAAUAGCCCUUGAGGAACUAGAUAAAAAUACGAACAAAAGCACCAAAUUUUGCUUUAACAAAAGAACUAAAUGAAAAUACGAACAAAAGUAC